rnacentral:lncRNA from 1 species
GUUUUGCGACGGAAGAAGAAAGUACCUGUCGGCAAUAAGCACUUGUGAGAUUAAAUCAGAUGACGUUUGUGAAGUGCCCACAUACAGGAGUGUCGAAAAGAAUGCCAACCCUUGUGUUUGUACUACGAAGGAAUACAUAGAAAGGAAGAGAAAGAAAGGAAACAAAUUCUCGAAGCAAAUUCCAGGUCUCAGUCAACCGCAUACAUCAAUCAGGCCAUUCAGGAUUUCCCAACUAUUUCUUUUA